rnacentral:rRNA from 1 species
CUGACACAGGGAGGUAGUGACAAGAAAUAACAAUACAGGGCUAUUUUAGUCUUGUAAUUGGAAUGAGUACAAUUUACAUCUCUUCACGAGGAUCAAUUGGAGGGCAAGUCUGGUGCCAGCAGCCGCGGUAAUUCCAGCUCCAAUAGCGUAUAUUAAAGUUGUUGCAGUUAAAACGCUCGUAGUCGGAUUUCGGGGCGGGCCGACCGGUCUGCCGAUGGGUAUGCACUGGCCGGCGCGUCCUUCCACCCGGAGACCGCGCCUACUCUUAACUGAGCGGGCGCGGGAGACGGGUCUUUACUUUGAAAAAUCAGAGUGUUUCAAGCAGGCAGUCGCUCUUGCAUGGAUUAGCAUGGGAUAAUGAAAUAGGACUCUGGUGCUAUUUUGUUGGUUUUCGAACACCGGAGUAAUGAUUAACAGGGACAGUCAGGGGCACUCGUAUUCCGCCGAGAGAGGUGAAAUUCUCAGACCAGCGGAAGACGAACCACUGCG